AACCUGCCCAAGAGAUCGGGAUAACACCUGGAAACAGAUGCUAAUACCGGAUAACAAUAGAUGAUGCCUAUCAACUGUUUAAAAGAUGGUUCUGCUAUCACUCUUGGAUGGACCUGCGGNGCAUUAGCUAGUUGGUAGGGUAACGGCCUACCAAGGCGAUGAUGCAUAGCCGAGUUGAGAGACUGAUCGGCCACAUUGGGACUGAGACACGGCCCAAACUCCUACGGGAGGCAGCAGCC
rnacentral:rRNA from 1 species